UUAUUAUAGCAGUGGCAGUAUCGUAGCAAAUGAGGUUUAUCCGAGGCACCAUUAUUGCUAAUUGAAUAAAUAAAUAACCUGUAUUAUCUUAAUGUAACAGCUAAUUAUCUAUUCUUUAUUACAGGCAAAAGUGCC